UCGCCGCGCGGCAGUCGCGUUGGCAGCCGCCGUCUGCCGUCUGCACGACUGUGAGGCAUUGAGCGUCUAUUUUCACACGCGCCGCGCGUCCCAAACAGCCUCAUUCCUUGUUGCAACGAUUCCGAUUCCGAGUGAAUGUCCAGCAGUGUGGACCACCCUCUGGUCAAUUAAAGUCGACGAGCCGGAGAGAUUUCGGGCUGGAACGGCUGCGGCGGCGUGCUUGGAAUGAAGUCAAUCGUUAACAUCGGGGUUGACAAGCGAAUGAAGAAAAAAGAAACGAAAGUCUCUUUCUCUCUCUUUCUCUCCUCCGAAAGAAAUGAUAGACUUUGCUACCGUAUUUGAAUCUCAAGUAACAAUUAUUUAUCUAAGAAAGAUGUUUAACGCAUAAAAUUGUGAUUAUCUAAGAAAUUUGAACAGGAUGGAUGUAAUUGUGCUUAAAACUUUACGAAAAUCGAGGGGAUCCUUCACACCGCUUGUAUUACACGCACUCGGAAGCACUUUCCGCAAAAGGAUCGUGCCAGCUAAGACUGAAAAAUUCAGGACCGGCUACGCCGGUGCAACUCCCGUCCUCGCGUGCGCAAUUAAAAUUAAUAAAAUGAUAAUUAAUAAAAACAGCAGACAAACGCAAGACGGCCAUAAGAGACCGCGAGCUCUCUUUCUCUUUCACUCACGUGUCGUUAAUUCGUUAUGAGCUUUCGGAGGAGGGAAAGAGAGACGUUUUCCACAAGCCACUUUGGCGCUCUCGACGCGACGAAGAGGAGACGCGCUUCUCUCUGGUACCCCCUUAAGAGUAGAGUCGGCUGUCAUAAAUGUCAUUAACUGAUCGCCAGCGUUUACAGGCUUGAGAGCCGGUUGUCAUUUCUUAACGUGGCGGAUCGUCUCCGCCGAUGGUGGAGUGCAGCAGCUACGAUAACUACACCGCUGAGAAUCGAGAGAGAGAGCGAAAGGCAUCGCUAGUCGCGAGCGGGUGUUGGAAAGAGUACAAAAAGAGAAAUCCGGCCAGACAGUGGAGGGCGUGGGAGAUACAUUUAUAAACUCGCAUCUGUGAGCUUAGAAUCGCAUGAUUUAGUGACUACGGAAGGAGAUCUUCGCGUCCGCUUUAAGCGGCCUCUUCAGCCGCCCUCGUUUGCGAGAAAUGGCGUUUCGCCGAGUUAAAGUGUCCCAUCGAUCAUAAGUAAAAUGGAUUGCGAGAUUAUCGGACAGACUGUCAAGUACUUUUAACCUUCUCCGUGAUUUAAUUCCGAGACUUAUUAAAACUUUUACAAGCGUUCCAUCUCUCUGAUGGAAAAUCAUUGUAAUUUCGCAGAAAAACAUGACAUUACGUUUGCAUUAAAUAUUUAUUUCAGAAUUA